UACGUAGGGUGCAAGCGUUGUCCGGAAUUAUUGGGCGUAAAGAGCUCGUAGGCGGUCUGUCGCGUCUGCUGUGAAAACUCAGGGCUUAACCCUGAGCUUGCAGUGGGUACGGGCAGACUAGAGUGCGGUAGGGGAGACUGGAAUUCCUGGUGUAGUGGUGAAAUGCGUAGAGAUCAGGCAGAACACCUGGGGCGAAGGGCGGCCAGCUGGGCCGUCCCUGG
rnacentral:rRNA from 1 species